rnacentral:rRNA from 1 species
AGGACGAACGCUGGCGGCGUGCUUAACACAUGCAAGUCGAGCGGAAAGGCCCUUCGGGGUACUCGAGCGGCGAACGGGUGAGUAACACGUGAGUAAUCUGCCCCUAGCUCUGGGAUAGCUCCGGGAAACCGGGAUUAAUACCAGAUACGACCACUUUAGACAUCUUCUGUGGUGGAAAGAACUUCGGCUAGGGAUGAACUCGCGGCCUAUCAGCUUGUUGGUGAGGUAACGGCUCACCAAGGCGACGACGGGUAGCCGGCCUGAGAGGGCGACCGGCCACACUGGGACUGAGACACGGCCCAGACUCCUACGGGAGGCAGCAGUGGGGAAUAUUGCGCAAUGGGCGAAAGCCUGACGCAGCGACGCCGCGUGGGGGAUGAAGGCCUUCGGGUUGUAAACCCCUUUCAGCAGGGACGAAGCGAAAGUGACGGUACCUGCAGAAGAAGCGCGGCUAACUACGUGCCAGCAGCCGC